UUGCGCCCGCCAGUAUUCUGGCGGGCAUGCCUGUCCGAGCGUCAUUUCAACCCUCGAACCCCUCCGGGGGGUCGGCGUUGGGGAUCGGCCCUGCCUUUGGCGGUGGCCGUCUCCGAAAUACAGUGGCGGUCUCGCCGCAGCCUCUCCUGCGCAGUAGU
rnacentral:rRNA from 1 species